ACACUCCUGCGGGAGGCAACAGUGGGGAAUAUUGGACAAUGGGCGCAAGCCUGAUCCAGCCAUGCCGCGUGAGUGAUGAAGGCCCUAGGGUUGUAAAGCUCUUUCACCGGUGAAGAUAAUGACGGUAACCGGAGAAGAAGCCCCGGCUAACUUCGUGCCAGCAGCCGCGGUAAUACGAAGGGGGCUAGCGUUGUUCGGAUUUACUGGGCGUAAAGCGCACGUAGGCGGACUAUUAAGUCAGGGGUGAAAUCCCGGGGCUCAACCCCGGAACUGCCUUUGAUACUGGUAGUCUUGAGUUCGAGAGAGGUGAGUGGAAUUCCGAGUGUAGAGGUGAAAUUCGUAGAUAUUCGGAGGAACACCAGUGGCGAAGGCGGCUCACUGGCUCGAUACUGACGCUGAGGUGCGAAAGCGUGGGGAGCAAACAGGAUUAGAUACCCGAGUAGUCCC
rnacentral:rRNA from 1 species